rnacentral:rRNA from 1 species
UACGUAGGGCGCAAGCGUUAUCCGGAAUUAUUGGGCGUAAAGAGCUCGUAGGCGGUUUGUCGCGUCUGCUGUGAAAUCUGGGGGGCUCAACCCCCCAGCCUGCAGUGGGUACGGGCAGACUAGAGUGCGGUAGGGGAGAUUGGAAUUCCUGGUGUAGCGGUGGAAUGCGCAGAUAUCAGGAGGAACACCGAUGGCGAAGGCAGAUCUCUGGGCCGUAACUGACGCUGAGGAGCGAAAGCAUGGGGAGCGAACAGG